CUUAGGAAGGGCGGGAGGGCCGGGGAGGGCCGGGGAGGGCCGGGGAGGCCUACGGGCCUCGGGAGGAGGCCGAGCCCUGACCGGUGGGCCUUGCGGGCAGAGGCCGGAGAGAUGAGACGGGCCUGGGAUGGGCAAGGCAUGAUGUCAACAGGAGAGUUGGGUCAGACGCAGCGCUGGGAGAAGAUUGUUUAUGGAGGAGAAAUAAAUGGAGGAGAAGGAUUUAAGAUUAAGAAGAAGAAGGAGUUGUGCUGAAGAAGAUAUGGAGGUGUGAAGACAACAGGGACAUUUGUGGCAGUGGCAGGUAUUCAGGCACAGAAGACAAGCCCUCGAGGGGCAGGAGAGGUCUGUGGAAUCAGAGAGGAUAGACUAGAGUGGGGAUGUCAAGCAGAACUCUGGAACCUCCCCUGUGAAACUGGGAGACUGAAUGGCAGCGAGGCCUAGCUGGAUGGCAGGAGCCCCCAGAGGGGAGUGGUAGCCAUGACCCUGCCCUUCCUCAAACAUGGCACCAGACCUAGAUGUUGUUGGCUACUCAAGAAAAAAUUCUUCCUGAAGAAUAAUAUGCAUUUCCCAGGUCACUAUUUCAUAAGGGGCCCCAGCAAUGCUCACUUUGAUGCUGUAUGGAUUCACUCUUCAGACUUCACCACCUCUUCAGCAACCUCUUUAUCUAUGAGCAAGUACCUCACCCGUCUUCUGGCUCAUUAUAUGUUGUCUUCCCCUAAUAGAAUAUUAGCUCCUUGAGGGCAGCAACUAUUUGUUUGUAUUGGUGCUGCCAGAGUUUAGGACAGUACCCCACAUAUACUAAGUGCUUGAUAUGUAUCUAUGUAUCUAUCACCAUUCUGUUAUAACGUAUAAUGCUAUUAUAUUAUCCCCACGAUGCUUCUAUAUAUGGUAGUCCAGCAAGUCCAUGCCCAUGAUAACUGAAUAAAUGAAAUGUACUCUUCA